UUUACAAUGAAGAGUUUGAUCCUGGCUCAGGAUGAACGCUAGCUACAGGCUUAACACAUGCAAGUCGAGGGGCAGCGGGUUGAAAGCUUGCUUUCAAUGCCGGCGACCGGCGCACGGGUGCGUAACGCGUAUCAAACCUGCCUCAUACUCGGGGAUAGCCUUGCGAAAGUAAGAUUAAUACCCGAUGUUAUUAGUUUUCCGCAUGGUGGACUAAUCAAAGAUUUAUCGGUAUGAGAUGGUGAUGCGUCCGAUUAGGUAGUAGGCGGGGUAACGGCCCACCUAGCCUUCGAUCGGUAGGGGUUCUGAGAGGAAGGUCCCCCACACUGGAAC
rnacentral:rRNA from 1 species